GAUGAACGCUGACAGAAUGCUUAACACAUGCAAGUCCACUUGAAUUUGGGUUUUUAACUUAGGUUUGGGUGGCGGACGGGUGAGUAACGCGUAAAGAACUUGCCUCACAGCUAGGGACAACAUUUGGAAACGAAUGCUAAUACCUAAUAUUAUGAUAAUAGGGCAUCCUAUAAUUAUGAAAGCUAUAAGCGCUGUGAGAGAGCUUUGCGUCCCAUUAGCUAGUUGGAGAGGUAACGGCUCACCAAGGCGAUGAUGGGUAGCCGGCCUGAGAGGGUGAUCGGCAACAAGGGGACUGAGACACGGCCCUUACUCCUACGGGAGGCAGCAGUGGGGAAUAUUGGACAAUGGACCAAGAGUCUGAUCCAGCAAUUCUGUGUGCACGAUGAAGUUUUUCGGAAUGUAAAGUGCUUUCAGUUGGGAAGAAAGAAAUGACGGUACCAACAGAAGAAGUGACGGCUAAAUACGUG
rnacentral:rRNA from 1 species